AGCGGACGCUGGCGGCAGGCCUAACACAUGCAAGUCGAACGAACUCUUCGGAGUUAGUGGCGGACGGGUGAGUAACGCGUGGGAACGUGCCUUUAGGUUCGGAAUAACUCAGGGAAACUUGUGCUAAUACCGAAUGUGCCCUUCGGGGGAAAGAUUUAUCGCCUUUAGAGCGGCCCGCGUCUGAUUAGCUAGUUGGUGAGGUAAAGGCUCACCAAGGCGACGAUCAGUAGCUGGUCUGAGAGGAUGAUCAGCCACAUUGGGACUGAGACACGGCCCAAACUCCUACGGGAGGCAGCAGUGGGGAAUCUUGCGCAAUGGGCGAAAGCCUGACGCAGCCAUGCCGCGUGAAUGAUGAAGGUCUUAGGAUUGUAAAAUUCUUACGCCGGGGACGAUAAUGACGGUACCCGGAGAAGAAGCCCCGGCUAACUUCGUGCCAGCCGCCGCAGUAA
rnacentral:rRNA from 1 species